GACGAACGCUGGCGGCGUGCUUAACACAUGCAAGUCGAACGGUGAAGCGCCUUCCUUUUUGGUGGGUGUGGAUGAGUGGCGAACGGGUGAGUAACACGUGAGUAACCUGCCCCCUUCUUCUGGAUAACCGCAUGAAAGUGUGGCUAAUACGGGAUAUUCUGGGUCUGUCGCAUGAUGGGUCUGGGAAAGAUAUUGUUUCGGUGGGGGAUGGGCUCGCGGCCUAUCAGCUUGUUGGUGGGGUGAUGGCCUACCAAGGCGGUGACGGGUAGCCGGCCUGAGAGGGUGGACGGUCACACUGGGACUGAGACACGGCCCAGACUCCUACGGGAGGCAGCAGUGGGGAAUAUUGCACAACGGGCGCAAGCCUGAUGCAGCGACGCCGCGUGAGGGAUGGAGGCCUUCGGGUUGUGAACCUCUUUCGCCAGUGAAGCAGGCCUGCCUCGUUUGUGGGUGGGUUGACGGUAGCUGGAUAAGAAGCGCCGGCUAACUACGUG
rnacentral:rRNA from 1 species